CCGGGGAAUAUUUAAUUUGAAGAUACUUACGUCGUGGAGUAGGAGUUAAAGUCUCCUUUCUUCUGA
rnacentral:tRNA from 1 species